GUUGGUGCCUUUAGCGAUGGGGUCCCACCUCUUCCCAUUCCGAACAGAGUCGUUAAGCCCAUCAGCGCUGAUGGUACUGAGGUUGAUGCCUCGGGAGAGUAAGUCGGUGCCAACU
rnacentral:rRNA from 1 species